GUAGUCCACGCUGUAAACGAUGAGUGCUGGAUGUGGGGGUUUUUACCUCCGUGUUGUAGCUAACGCGUUAAGCACUCCGCCUGGGGACUACGGUCGCAAGACUAAAACUCAAAGGAAUUGACGGGGACCCGCACAAGCGGUGGAGCAUGUGGUUUAAUUCGAUGCAACGCGAAGAACCUUACCACUUCUUGACAUGAAGAUUAGAUCCUCCUUAACAGGAGGGCGCAGUUCGGCUGGGUCUUGCACAGGUGCUGCAUGGCUGUCGUCAGCUCGUGUCGUGAGAUGUUGGGUUAAGUCCCGCAACGAGCGUAACCCUCACUCUUAGUUGCCAGCGGGUAAUGCCGGGUACUUUAAGAGAACUGCCAGUGGUAAGCUGGAGGAAGGUGGGGAUGAUGUCAAGUCAGCAUGGCCCUUAUGGGGUGGGCUACACACGUGCUACAAUGGUGACUACAAUAGGUUGCAAUGCCGCAAGGCUGAGCUAAUCCGGUAAAAGUCAUCUUAGUUCGGAUUGUCCUCUGAAACUCGAGGGCAUGAAGCAGGAAUCGCUAGUAAUCGUGGAUCAGCAUGCCACGGUGAAUACGUUCUCGGGUCUUGUACAC
rnacentral:rRNA from 1 species